CCUACGGUGGGCAGCAGUGAGGAAUAUUGGUCAAUGGUCGGGAGACUGAACCAGCCAAGCCGCGUGAGGGAGGAAGGUACAGAGUAUCGUAAACCUCUUUUGUCAGGGAACAAAGACUUGGACGCGUCCCCGGAUGAGUGUACCUGAAGAAAAAGCAUCGGCUAACUCCGUGCCAGCAGCCGCGGUAAUACGGAGGAUGCGAGCGUUAUCCGGAUUUAUUGGGUUUAAAGGGUGCGCAGGGGGUUUGUUAAGUCAGGGGGCAAAGCCCGGGGCUCAACCCCGGCACGGCCGUUGAAACUGGCAGUCUUGAGUUGGAGAGAAGUAGGCGGAAUGCGCGGUGUAGCGGUGAAAUGCAUAGAUAUCGCGCAGAACUCCGAUUGCGAAGGCAGCACGCCGGCUCCACACUGACGCUGAGGCACGAAAGCGUGGGUAUCGAACAGGAUUAGAUACCCCAGUAGUC
rnacentral:rRNA from 1 species